UACGUAGGGGGCAAGCGUUGUCCGGAAUUAUUGGGCGUAAAGGGUGCGUAGGCGGGUCUUUAAGUCAGGGGUGAAAUCCUGGAGCUCAACUCCAGAACUGCCUUUGAUACUGAAGAUCUUGAGUUCGGGAGAGGUGAGUGGAACUGCGAGUGUAGAGGUGAAAUUCGUAGAUAUUCGCAAGAACACCAGUGGCGAAGGCGGCUCACUGGCCCGAUACUGACGCUGAGGCACGAAAGCGUGGGGAGCGAACAGG
rnacentral:rRNA from 1 species